AUUUCAACACUUAUAUACACAGGUGGUUUUCAACAAACUCAGCUACAUAGGAUUGUACAAUGGGUUUAUUCAGUGUGGCUGUGUCUUAUGGAGAAUUCCGGUGUGGACUUGUGAGGAUCUGCACUAUUUCACGUUUACAACAUUAGGGAUAAAUUUCUCAACUGAUUUUUGCCCACUCUACAGUAUAUGUAGUGCUGCCAAGUCAAGUGGAAAAAGUGUCAAAUGUCUGUCCAUUCAUCUUCAUCAGGGGUCCUCUGUGAAACCAGACAGGAGCAAACCAUAGAAACCCAACUGCAAGGAAACAUGAGCCCCCUCUUCCUUCUCACCAUGUGCCUGAAUGAGAUACCAUAUGCAACUUUAUUCAGUGUAGAUCUGUGAGCAAGCAUGUGUAGAGUGUCUGAGUGUGAGUGUGUGUGAGCAAACAUGCGCUGUCCACAGGGAACAAUAUCCUGGUGCUGAUGAGUGUGACGAGGAAAACUCCAGCAUCAGUGAUUUUGUUGCCAGAGGAGCGUCACAACCACUAUGGCCAUCCUCUCAGUCCAACUCAGUGCUGAAGAGCUUUCUGCAUAAAGACCAAGACACAUUAACAAGAGUUUUGUCCACAUCAUACACACGGAGAUUGUCUGCAUUGAACAGAAACAAGCUUCUUCACUCACUCCCUGUUUCUCGUAUAUUAAACGGUACGAAUGGAGUUAAUUGUCAUUCUUGCACAUGACCACUAGUGGGCACUACAUUACUUAAGCUGUACUCUCAAUGAUGGACUCAAGAGGGCAUUGAAGUUCUCUACUAACCUGUGUUUUAGCACCCUUAAUUAUGUCUAUUCUUUACAGUCUGAUGAGACAGUAAAAUUACAUGAUUAGUCCUGAAAUUUACCAGCAUAUUGGCUGCAUUUCAUAAAAACCAUAAAAACCAGCAUAUUGGCUGCAUUUGAUAGGAUGCAUCUGUCCUUGAUCAGCAUUUUCUCAGCUUCUUCUGAUUUUUGUUGUUUGUUGUUUUUUUGUUGUUUGUUUCUCUCAUGUUCAAACAAUUCCUGACCAAUUUUUGCACUGUAGGUGCUGUAUCCUGCUAAACAGGCUACUUCCAUUAGGGAUUAAAGUUGCCAUGAUGGGGUGCAUUUGGCCUGCAACCAUGUUUAGGUAAAAUGUUCCAGCAAAAUAUUGUCCGAGAAUCACAUCACUUCUUCCCAUAGUGCAUCCUCGUCCCAUCUCUUCCCCAAGUAAAUUGCCAUUUACAUGAUGCAAAAGAAAACAUGAUUCAUCAGACCAGGAUACCUUCUUCAGUUGGUCCAUGGUCCAGUUCUGAUGCUCACGUGCCCAUUGUGGGUGCUUCUGUAAUGGACCAAUGUGUGCUACACAGAAGUUUUUCUGUGGCACUGGAGCAGACUUCGCUCUCCUUGGAGAUGAAUAGUGAAUGCAUUUUAAAAAGCAAGGAAGGAAAGAAGCCACUGGAGAGCAAACAACUAGGCAGAUAUCAUAACUGAUGUAAACGCCUGACUUACUUGUAUUUAAUUUUUUAUAACCAUUACUUGUCAGUACUAAGCAGCUAGAUCAGUCGAAAGAUGAAUUUGUAUACAAAAGCAGAUUAACUGCUCAGCCUAAGGAAUCACUAAAUCUCUAAAGUGGAUAUUGAACACUGACUGAUACCAUAAAAAACUUACUGCUAUUACUCAAUCAGGCUGUUCUAGCAUGGAUAAAUCAAUCAUGCGACUUAAAUUGCAAUUAACUUGGCUAAAAUAUUGUUAUCAACAAAAUUGAAUUUUAGAUGAUAAUAAUUUGCUCAAUUAAUAGUCUCUUGACAUACAAGGAGGGGCUUGAAAUCAAAUCAGGUAACCAGUAACCAGUAGUACACUCCCAGUACAUUGCCUUGUGUAAGUAUUCACCCCCUUGGGCCUUUCUAUAUUUAUAGUGUUGCAAUCAGGACCUGAAAUGGACUUAAUCUAGAUUUUAUAUCAUGAGCGUACACAAAAUGAGAGAAAUAAGAUAAGAGAGAUAAGAGAAAAUAAGGGAGAAAUAGAGAAAAAAGAAAGAAAUGAACUAUUCACGGUACUUACAUUUUUGCUGAGUCUCCAACAUAUAGAGAUUUGAUAUGGUUUUUUUGUGAACAGCUUUUGCCAUUUGAGCUGUUGACCUAUCCAGUUUCUUCAGCCUUUCCCUGGGCCUCCUGGUGUAGAUUUGUGACAUAUAAUCCCAAUUAAAUCUAUUUCAGUUCCAGGUCACAGUUUCUUUUUGACGUUACAUAAACUAAACAUUAACUAACUACAUUACAAGGCAUCACUAACUGUAGUCUAUCUGUUACAAUAAAUAACUUCUAUCACAUCCAUAGCCUGAAUGAACCCCAGUGAUAUACCAGCACUUACUGUAGUUUAAAUCCAUUACUUAAUCUCAUGAAUGUUUGCUGGUCAUAUACAAGACAAAUGCUACAUAGUUUGCUAAUUAAUUAAUCAGAGGUAAAAUAUCAUAUAAAUGACAAAGAUUUACCAUUAGCUAGAAUCUGAUUUGCUGCUUAGACUUUAGUUUAGUUAGCUUAUCAACAAAUCCUGGUGGCACACUGUUAGCUACAGGAUCCAGUGCAUUGACAAUGUAUUUUAUUCAUUUAUUAAUGUGAUUAGAUGCUUUGAACUGAAAUAUACACCGAUCAGGCAUAACAUUAUGGCCACCUUCCUAAUUUUGUGUUGGUCCCCCUUUUGCUGCCAAAACAGCCCUG